CUCUUCGAUCCCUGGUGGUCCAGUGGUGGCGCGUGCUGUUCAGCCUGCAGGCUGACUUUGCUCUCCUCCCGCGAGAACAGCAGGCAGGUCGGAGCAUUGCCAUGGUAACCUGCCUGCUCGCAGGAGGAGCGUUCUCGCUUCCUGCUUCCUGUCAGACCGGGUAGGGGAACAGAAGCUCCCCUACUGUGGUCUGCCUGCUCGGCCACGCU